rnacentral:rRNA from 1 species
AAUAGUCCUGUAUGUUAAACGAGAAGACUUUAGAUAUGAUCCAGAGUACCACGGGACACGUGAAACCCUGUGGGAAGCAGGAGGGACCACCCUCCAAGGCUAAAUACUACCUAGUGACCGAUAGCGUAUAGUACCGUGAGGGAAAGGUGAAAAGAACCCCGGGAGGGGAGUGAAAUAGAACCUGAAACCCUGCACUUACAAGCUGUGGAAGCACAUUUCUUGUGUGACCGCGUACUUUUUGUAGAACGGGCCAACGAGUUACGUUAAGUAGCAAGGUUAAGCACUUAAGGUGCGGAGCCGUAGCGAAAGCGAGUUUUAACUGAGCGUUCAGUUACUUGACGUAGACCCGAAACCGGGCGACCUACCCAUGAGCAGGAUGAAGCGAAAGUAAAAUUUCGUGGAGGUCCGAACCCACGAGCGUUGAAAAGCUCGGGGAUGACUUGUGGGUAGCGGUGAAAUUCCAAUCGAGCCCGGAGAUAGCUGGUUCUCCCCGAAAUAGCUUUAGGGCUAGCCUCAAGGUGAGAGAUACGGAGGUAGAGCACUGAAUGUCCUAGGGGGUAUUGCACCUACCGAAGACUAUCAAACUCCGAAUGCCGUCAUCUUAUACUUGGGAGUCAGACUGUGGGUGAUAAGAUUCAUAGUCGAAAGGGCAACAGCCCAGAUCGUCAGCUAAGGUCCCUAAAUGUAAGUUAAGUGGUAAAGGAUGUGGGAUUGCACAGACAACCAGGAUGUUGGCUUAGAAGCAGCCACUCAUUCAAAGAGUGCGUAAUAGCUCACUGGUCGAGUGAUCCUGCGCCGAAGAUUUCCGGGGCUAAAACUUACUACCGAAGCUACGGCAUCAGUAAUGAUGGGUAGGGGAGCUUCCCAUACGGGUUGAAGCAUGACCGUAAGGACAUGUGGACAGUAUGGGAGUGAGAAUGUUGGCAUGAGUAGCGAGAUGUGGGUGAGAAUCCCACAGGCCGUAAACCCAAGGUUUCCAGGGGAAGGUUCGUCCGCCCUGGGUUAGUCGGGACCUAAGCUGAGGCCGAAAGGCGUAGGUGAUGGACAACAGGUUGAUAUUCCUGUACUACCGAUAACCGUUUGAGAGA